AAGCGCUUGCAACCAGACUUGGACUUAGUUGAUCAACCGGUGUUCUCACCGGUACACUCUGCUAUGUACAGGCCAGCAUCGGUUUUGGUGGUUGGAUAAAGGCUGUGGGAAUGUGGCUCCUCUCGGGGAGUGUUAUAGCCCACGGUGCAAUGCAGCCUACCGGGACCGAGGACCGCGCUUCGGCUAGGAUGCUGGCGUAAUGGUUGUAAGCG
rnacentral:rRNA from 1 species